UACAGAGGUCUCAAGCGUUGUUCGGAUUCAUUGGGCGUAAAGGGUGCGUAGGCGGCGGGGCAAGUCAGGUGUGAAAUCCCGGGGCUCAACCCCGGAACUGCACUUGAUACUGCCUCGCUAGAGUACUGGAGAGGAGACUGGAAUUUACGGUGUAGCAGUGAAAUGCGUAGAUAUCGUAAGGAAGACCAGUGGCGAAGGCGAGUCUCUGGACAGUUACUGACGCUGAGGCACGAAGGCCAGGGGAGCAAACGGG
rnacentral:rRNA from 1 species